CAUUGUGUACCAGAGGACAUGAUAGAGAACAGAGGAAGGAAGAUGGCCGAUGAUUAGCGAUGUAAACAAGAAGGCCUGAGAUGUGAUUCUAAGUUUGGCUCUAGUACUGGUUUAUAAUUGAUUAUUAAACGUUCUGUUUUAUAUCACUUUCGUUGAGUGAUUGACCUCCUUGUGUGUGUGUGUGGACAUCUAUGCUGUGCAAGUUUGUUGUUGCUGAUUUCCAAAGAUGGAGAAACAGGAAGUGGAUACAUAAGAGGCACGUCUAUCUAGAAGUCAGUUUUAAUGUAGGCCUAUUGAUUUCAACAUUAUUUCAUAGUUUGCGAAUCGACGAAGAUGUCCAGAAGACGUGCCUAUGAAAAAACGUCAGGAAGUUGCUUUACUGUGGUCAGCUAUGCUGAGGCCGGUCUGAUGUCCAGUAUCAGAUCCAUAACUUUGUGAAGAAUGACUUCAGAAAAGCUACUGUGAACAGAUGUGCCACGCUUCAGCUUGUAGGUCAAGGCUAGUCGCAAGAUUCUGACGUCGCAUGUUCAGACGAUCAUGAGUGCAGAUCCACGUGCCUGAGUUAAGUGAAGACUAAAAGGCUGGAAACUAAAGGUUCGGGUUUAAAAGAGAUGGAGGGACUUAGAGGCGCCCUAAAGAUCCCGAAAUUAAAAAUCCAAGUCCUCACUAGGAUUCAAACCUGGGACCAACUGUUCCCUCGUGGUCAGUCUCAUUCCUUUGAUGGAAGUGCAGAACUCAGAGAACGUCUGACACUACGCACUCGUUUUCUCCCUGCUUCAUAAUGAAUUAUUUCCCUUUUGUUUUUAAACACAGGGAAGCUAAGACUAAAUAUUUUCUAAUUUAAAGAGUGUGGCUAUUGGAAUUAGAUUUAAAUAUACCAUACCUUAUUUUAUGGAAAAUUGUUUUGAUAUGUAAUAAAAAAAAAAUGAUGUGUAAAUAAGAAUCAAUACUCAGAUAAGUUUUCAAGCUAUUUUGAAAUGUUGAAAUCAUACAAGGGAGAUAAGUCAAGUUUUCUAACCUCAUACGAGAUGAUAUACGGAAUCCUCGCUUUGGGAAUAUCAUUCCGUGAUUUAUAUUCAGCUCAACAAUCCUCUCUGAUUGCCUGUAA